AACAAGUUCAGAGGUGAAAGGUCACCAGGCUAAGAGCUCAACGUAGAACGACUCCAGGUCCCGGCACUCUUGAGUGCUGGCGGGUUUUCACUCCUACCCUGGACUGAUCCAGCCAUUCACCGAUCAUUUAAACUCAGUAUUUAUCCAUAAUAAGUUCAGCAUAUGUGAGGUGCUGUGAGAGUUUUUUCCGGGCCCUCAAGACACCACGAAGCCUUCCAUACGGGGAGACUCAUCGCAGGGGCAUCCGGGGGCCCAGGCGGCAACACGAGACUCUCUGGCGGUCCUCGGACUGCGAGAGGAGACGCACGCUCUAAAGAACACAAGCUGCACCGCUGCCUCGCCCUGCUGCUGUACAAAACGCACCGUUUGCUCCGAUGCUAGCGCUAAAGCUAGCGAUAGCUGAGGCGCCGUCUUUAACCCUCAACUGUGCAGACCAAACUCUUCAUCCGCCGCUGCAAGCAGACAUGUCACAACACACUGGAGAUAGGCGGGAUUGUGUUUUUACGCUUUUAGUUAUUUAACUCUCGAGAAAAGUUUAACAGUGGGGGGUGCGUUUGUUUUGUGAAUAAUUUAAAUGAUGUAAAAUAUGUGUUUGAAGGUGGAGUCUGUGGUGUGCGUUAUGGUGUUUACUUUAACCUGAUGGCCAUCUUGUUAUGGCGCGUACGCUACUUUAGGCACUCGUAAUUCUCCACGGAUACAUCCUCAUCUGUACACGACUUAACUUCGUAAUCGGGACCUCAAAACGGGUCCGAAGAUACAUACUGUAUGUAAAUAUAUAUUUUCACAUUCAAGAUGCUCCAAUCGUGAUGGAUUGUACGUGGAAGCAGACAGCUGCAGACGCCAGGGUUUCGGAGGCCCGGGAACAGCGUGUGGGUUUGGGAGAUGCAAAAAAAGGACAAGUUCAGCCUCAUUGUAGACGACCCUCACACUGUCAUCGUUAUCAGGACUAAACAAACAGCAUGUAUAUGUUCCUGUCACUGGCUUCCACAACCUCCUGCUGUAUGUGCGUCCAUGCUGUGUGAACAUUAAAUGCAGGUGCGUGUGAUCUGUGGAUAAAUAUUUUUUUACUGUGCGUCAAAGGGACGGAAGGAACUGCUUGGUCUCAUUAAAGACUCAACGUUCCUGCUACAUAUUGUUUGCUGUUGUUGAUCUGUUUAGAAGGGCAAGAGCUAUAAGCAUUUAGAACUGGG
ensembl:lncRNA